AACAAAUAAAAAAUAAUGAUAACCCUAAUUGUAAACAACAGCAAGUGCCAUUUAUUUAUGACAUAUUAAAAGCUUUGCACACAUUAUUUCAUUUAGUUCUCCCAACAAUCAUAUCAAGUAGGUACAGUUAUCUGCCUUAUUUUAUUGAUGAAAAAAGAAUCUCAGAAGGUUAAGCAACUUGACCAGGCACACACAGCUUCUAAGUGUGGGAUCAGAAGUCACAUCUCUCUGACUCCAAAGCAGGCAAAUUUUCACCUUGGCAUUGAAGCAGUUUUACAGACCUAUGUUGACUUUUCUUUUCACCAAUUGACCAGGGAACUUCUAACUACUCAGCAUUAAACUUCCUAAAUUAUUCCAUUCCUCCUCUGUCAGACUACGAGCUCAAAGCCUUAGUCCUGGAAUCCAGUUUUCUGCCCCAGGCUCCCUGGGCCUAUGGGUCCAGAGGAGCUACCUCUUCUCCAGUCCAAAAGAGUUCCCUGACUUCGGAGUCCAGUUCUGUCUGGGUAAAACACUCUGCUGAAGAAGGGUCCAUAAGGGAUUUUACUAUGGCUAUCUUUUUGGACAUAUUAAGGGGCAAGUUCUCUAAUGACUCAUAAAGGCCAUUAACAUGGGUUUUGCAGUGAGUACUAAGACCUUCCCAUAUGAGUAUAACUGAAACCCUACACAAAUAAUGUAAUGUUUAAUUGCAUGUGCAAAUAAAAUUGUGCAAAACUCUCUAAGAGUAUAAAGUUCGAAAGACUGUAUUUUAUAAAGAAUUUUUUAAUGAUAUAGGAACAACCUUAGGCAAGUAUGUUAAGGAAAAAACAGCAGGGUGUGAAACUGUACAUAGUGUAUCAUCAUCAUUAUGUAAAUUAUCUAAAAGCGAGAGGUGGGAGCAGGGGAAGUACUUGCAGAUAAAUACACAAAAGUGCUAACAAUGGUUGCUGAUAGAUGGUAUGAUGGAGACUUUUAAUUUUCUUUUUUUAUAUACUGCGAAAUUUUCCAAAUUCUCCUCGGCGAAAAUAUUUGUCUUUGGCCUCCAGCGACUCCUGCAGGCUGGUUAGUUUCUUGUUCCCCCAACAUCCCUCUUUCUGAUAUCUGCUUGGUCCUUCCUUAUUUAAGAUGCACAGGUGGGGUUUCCAGAUGGUCUGGGGGACACUCAUUCUUUAUUUAUCCUCUUCGUUUGCCAUUCUGGAUGCUGGGAAGUACAAGAUCAAGUCACCAGCAGAUUUGGUCUCAGCUGGGCGGUCCAGCUUCUAGGUCAUAGACGGCCACCUUCUUGAUGUUUUUUUUCACAUGGUGGAAGGAGCAAGGGAGCUCUCUGGGUCCUCUUUUAUAAGGGCACCAAUAUGAUUCAUGGAGGCUCCACCCUCAUGACCUCAUCACCUCCUCAAAGCCCUUCCAAUACUAUCACACUGGGGAUUAGGUUUCAACAAAUGAAUUUCAGGGGGACACACAUGUAAUCCCAGCACUUUCGGAGGCA
rnacentral:lncRNA from 1 species